ACCAAGUGUUUCACUCAAUCACUCAAGUGUUUAAGGUGACACUCCAACUCUUUAUUGUUCACAAGUCACAUGAAACAAAAUUGCCAUUCAUCUCAAACAAUCAACAUCUUUACAUGCAAAUGCCAUCAAAAGGACUUUUCCAAGGCUUGUGAUGAGGUCGGGCUAACAAGAAAAAUUGGUUUUUCUAGAAUGCAAAAUCCUUGAGUAAAGAGAGCUAACAAAAUAUUCAACAUUUAUGCACAACUCUCCCAUUAAUGCUUCUCAUUCCCAACUUCUUCCCUUUUCUUUUCUUUUUCAUUGAGCUCAUCUUCAUGCUUUUCUUCUUUUCUUUUCUUUUUCUCAUGACUUUUUCUCUUUUCACAACAAUUGAGCUCAAUGCCUUUUACUUGCUUUUUCAAUUUUCCCCGUACGACCCCAAACUUGAACCUUUUCAAAACAUAUAAUUAAGCUCAUCCCAACUCAAGGUAAAGAACUUCAAAACAAGGGUUCAUAUACUGUUUAAGGCCAAGGUUCAAAAAGGGUAUAAUAUUUCAAGCACUUUUGAUGAUACGCGGGGCCCAAGCCCACCAAAUAAAUAACAACCCAAGAGCAUGGAGAAGGGUAAAGUGGACAUUGCUACAUAAGGAGGGGUGUGCC
rnacentral:lncRNA from 1 species